ACCUUACACCCAUGUUCACAAUAACCACACAGUCUGCCUUUCAAAAGUUUAUUUUCAGGGGAGUCACAGAACAUCAGGUGGAGACCCCUAGGAAGAGGAAGCAGCUGGGGUGGGCUCCAGAGGGGUAUGGGUCGGGGAAUAACCUCAGAGAAGAAUGAGCUGUGGAGUGGUGGCCUGGCACAGGCACCCCUGUACCCCUCACCUUCCCUUGUUUCCUGCAACAUGGACACCAUUCCACCGGCUCUCAGGGCCCACCCGGCUGACUACAUCCUUGCCACUUGGCUUCCAGGCUGCUCGGGGCUGGAGGAGGGCAGAAAUCCUGAGAUACUGGGUCCUGGGAGGUUGGGGGUUGGGGCAUGGGAAGGGACAGAGCCAGGCUGUGACAGAGGAUAGAGGGCUUGAGUGACUGAUAGAACGGGUCGGGUGGGGCAGCCCUGAGGAAUUUCCCUCUGAGGAGAGGGGUUCUGAGCAGCAGCCUCACUGUCCAGGGCCCAGCGGUGAGGGAGGUGCAGCCUGAAGCUUGGAUUCUGGCUGCGGAGGGCUUGUCGGGCUUGCUUGCUGAGGCCCAGGGCCUCUCUGGGAAUGAAGGAAUGCCUCUUGCUCUGGAACACCGAGGCCUGACAAUUUUCUCUCUCAGCAACAUUUACUUCUCUGUAAAACAGACUGUUGUAAGUUCCUCGGGGAGCUUGUUGGAUUUGGUGCCUGAGUUCACAAUCUCCUGGGGUGGACAGAAGGGUUUGGUAGAAGAAUUAGGUGUGGAGACGGAUAGGAGAGCAACGUGGAAGUUGGCUGGGAAAAGCCUGAGGUAUUCAAGUCAGGAAUAUUAAUACCUUAGGGUUCUCUCUCUCUGUCUCUGUCUCUGUCUCUCUCUCUCUCUGUGUCUCUCUGUGUGUGUGUGUGUGUGUGUCUCUCUCUCUCUGUGUGUGUGCGUGUGUGUCUCUCUCUCUCUGUGUGUGUCUCUCUCUCUGUCUCUGUCUCCCUCUCUCUCUCUCUGUCUGUCUCUCUGUCUCUCUCUGUUGGGGUGGGAGAGAUCUCUAGCUCUUAGGAUCAUUGCCUGUCAUGGCCUAACCCUAUUCCCCACUCUAUUUUUGUUAACAUAAUUACCGUUUCCUUUGUAUGAUUUUUUUUUUAACUUCAGCCCAAUUCCAGGCCUCCUUGUUUAAAACAAAACAAAACAGUGCUCGCUUUGGCAGUGCAUGUACUAAAAUUGGAACAGUACAGAGAAGAUUAGCAUGGCCCCUGAGCAAGGAUGACACGCAAAUUUGUGAAGCAUUCCAUAUUUUUUAAAAUGAAAAAGUAAUAAAACAAAACAAAACAAAGCUUUCAAAACUUAACAUUUCUGUGGCGUCUUCCCUGAGUUAAUGUAAACAGCCAUGGCGAUGGGUGCUGCCUGAUGGUGAAGCUCCCCUGGACUUGGGUGGCCUUAGCAACCGUUCUGCAGGUAUCUCUGGGACAUUCUUUUUUUUUUCUUUUUUUUUUUGAGUUGGAGUCUCGCUCAGUUGCCCAGGAUGGAGUGCAGUGGUGUGAUCUCAGCUCACUGGAACCUCUGCCUCCCGGGUUCAAGUGAUUCUCCUGCUUCAGCCUCCAGAGUAGCUAGGACUACAGGCAUGCGCCACCAUACCCAGCUAGUUUUUGUAUUUUUAGUAGAGACAGGAUUUCACCAUGUUGGCCAGGCUGAUCUCGAACUCCUGACCUCAAGUGAUCUGCCUGCCUUGGCCUCCCAAAGUGCUGGGAUUACAGGCGUGAGCCACCAUACCUGGCCAUCUCUGGGACAUCCUUGAGCAUCCCAUAUCUGUCUGCUGUUGUUUGGGCCUGUCAUUCUGUGCUCAGUAGAUAUGGCAAUGUGUCAUCCAAUAAUUGAUUCCUUACCAACUUUUUGGUUUUUUUCUGAGAUGGACUUUUGCUCCGUCACCCAGACUGGAGUGCAGUGGUGUGAUCACAGCACAUUGCAGCCUCAACCUCCCAGGCUCAAGCGGUCCUCCUGUCUUAGCCACCCUAGUAGCUGGGACUAGAAACACACACUACCAAAUCUGAGGACAAAAAAAAUAUUUUUGUAAAUGCGGGGU
rnacentral:lncRNA from 10 species